UUCCAGACUCCUACGGGAGGCAGCAGUGGGGAAUAUUGCACAAUGGGGGAAACCCUGAUGCAGCAACGCCGCGUGAGUGAAGAAGUAUUUCGGUAUGUAAAGCUCUAUCAGCAGGGAAGAAGAUGACGGUACCUGAUUAAGAAGCCCCGGCUAACUGCGUGCCAGCAGCCGCGGUAAUACGUAGGGGGCAAGCGUUAUCCGGAUUUACUGGGUGUAAAGGGAGCGCAGACGGCAGUGCAAGUCUGGAGUGAAAGCCCGGGGCCCAACCCCGGAACUGCUCUGGAAACUGUGCGGCUAGGGUACUGGAGGGGCAGGCGGAAUUCCUAGUGUAGCGGUGAAAUGCGUAGAUAUUAGGAGGAACACCAGUGGCGAAGGCGGCCUGCUGGACAGUAACUGACGUUGAGGCUCGAAAGCGUGGGGAGCAAACAGGAUUAGAUACCCUUGUA
rnacentral:rRNA from 1 species